rnacentral:lncRNA from 10 species
CAGAUCCACUGCAUAGGUCUUCAUUUGAAGUUAAAUCUUGCUACUGCUCACUCUUUGGGUCCACGCUACUUUUAUGAGCUGUAACACUCACCAGGAAGAUCUGCAGCUUCACUCCUGAAGCCAGCGAGACCAUGAGCCCACCAGGAGGAACGAACAACUGCAGAUAUGCCGCCUUAAAAGCUGUAACACUCACCGGGAAGGUCUGCAGCUUCACUCCUGAGCCAGCGAGACCACGAACCCACCAGAAGGAAGAAACUCCGAACACAUCCGAACGUCAGAAGGAACAAACUCCAGACGCGCCACCUUAAGACUUGUAACACUCACCGUGAGGGUCCAAGGCUUCAUUCUUGAAGUCAGUGAGACCAAGAAACAACCAAUUCCGGACACACUUUGAUCUGUGUUCACUGUUUUACUAACGAGAUUAAGAAUGUUUUCACAUGUAGAUUGAUUUAAGUGAAUCACUUGACUGUUUCCAUUUUUAUCCAUCUUUCUGCCUUUUUUCCUUUUUUUACUUGUAUGAGCUCCUGACCUAUUAUGAAUAAUAAUCUCUAUUAACCAUGUAGCUUGCAAAUAUUUUAUCCAGAACUGUUGAUCAUAUUUUAUUUAUAUCACUGCAUUAAACCUCAAUUUUUUUUUCUUGCGAUGGAGUCUCACUAUGUCACCCAGGCUGGGGUGCGGUGGCGUGAUCUCGGCUCACUGCAACCUCUGCCUCACGGGUUCAAGUGAGUCUCAUGUUUCGGCCUCCCGAGUAGCUGGGAUUACAGGCGUGCGCCACCACACCAGCUAAUUUUUGUAUUUUUGAUAGAGACAGGGUUUCACCAUGUUGGUCAGGCUGGUCUCGAACUCCUGACCUUGUGAUCCACUUGCCUUGACCUCCCAAAGUGCUGAGAUUACAGGCGUAAGCCACCCUGCCCAGCUCAAAUUUUUAUUGUUGGCAAAAAAUUCAAAUUUUAAAAGUGGUGCCAAUCUUUUCUAUUGGCCAGGUGAGUUGGCUUAUAAUCCCAGCUCUUUGGAAGGAUAAGGCAGGAGGAUCACUUGAGGCCAGAAGUUUGACACCAGCCUGAGUAACAUAGUAAGACCCCGUCUCUACCAAAAAGAUAAAAAAUAAAAGUUUUAAUUAGCCAGAUGUGGUGGUGUAUGCCUAUAGUUCCAGCUACUUGGGAGGAUGAAGCAGGAGGACUGGCUGAGCCCAGGAGUUGGAGGCUGCAGUGAGCUAUGAUCAUACCACUGUACUCCCACCUGGGUGACAAAGUGAGACCCUGUCUCUAGAAAAAAAAGAAAUUUAAAUCUAUUUUAUUAAUCUGUGUAUUUUCCAUUCUAUAUAAACUAGCAGAUCAGCUUGUCAAAUUUCAUAAAAUAUCCCUGUUAUGGUCUGAAUGUGGCCCCCCAAAGUUCAUGUGUUGGAAAUUUAAAGCCCAGUGCAACAAUGUUGAGAGAUGAGACCUUUAAGAGGUGAUUAGGUCAGGAGGGCACUACAUAAAUGAAUUAAUGAAGUUAUUGCAGGAGUGGGUUAGUUAUCUCAAGAGUGGAUUCCUGAUAAAAGAAUACAUUUGGAUCACCUUCCCUGUCUUACUCUAGCCCUCUCUCUUGUCCUAUCAACUCCUGCCAUGGGAUGAUGCAGCACCAAGGCUCUCACCAAAUGCUGGCACCAUGCUCUUGGACUUCCCAGCCUCCAGAACUAUGAGCCAAACAAAUUUCUGCUUAUUAUAAAUUACCCAGUCUGUGGUGUUGUUAUAGCAACAUAAAAUGGACUAAAACAAUCCCUUUGUAAUUUUUCAUGAGGUUGCAUUGAAUUAAUAGAUGAUUUAGAAAAAAAUUGACACUUUCACAAUUUUUAUUCUUACCAUCCAAAAACAUGAUAUGUGUGCUCAUUCCACUUUUCUUUUGUCUUCCAAUAAAAUUUUAUGUGUUUCUUUACAUUAGGUUUAUGUCUAGAAUUUUUCUCCCCACAGGUUUGAAAUGAACUUUAAUUAGCUUUUGUCUCCAGAAUUCCCCAUCGAUGCCUGGGCUUUAGGGUUCUCCUCACCCCCUCCAAUUUGAAGGUCCAGACUGGAAAGAAGAGACACAAGAGGGGACAGAAGAUUACCUAGCACAAAGUUGCAGGGGGGUUGUCUCCCUGGCAAGAGAUCCCAGGGCCCAAUGCCUCUCCAGCCCAGCCACAAGUACUCAGAGUGUCAGAACAUAUUUUUGUAAUGAGAAGCGUGGGCCCUGCCUCUCCCCACUCAUGGAGCAGGUGGGUGUCCUGCAGCCUUGGGGGUCACUUCAGUGGGGCAGUGGGCGUGGGCCCAGCAGAGGCACUGACAGCGAGAAGUGGCCAAAAAGAGGGUUGCACACCACCAUCUCCCUGUUCGGGGCCACGCCUGGACACCUGUACACCAUAAAGUCACUGCUUUCAUUCUCAUCUGCAGAGUCCAGCUCCUCAGGAGGCUCUUUCUGCAGCUCCAGCUGUAGUAUCUGUUAACCUCUGGUGCUGGUAGUGAUACAUUUGCACGCUGGGCACCAGCUGCUGCUUG